rnacentral:rRNA from 1 species
GACGAACGCUGGCGGCGUGCUUAACACAUGCAAGUCGAACGGAAAGGCCCUGCUUUUGUGGGGUGCUCGAGUGGCGAACGGGUGAGUAACACGUGUGUAACCUGCCCUUGACUUUGGGAUAACUUCAGGAAACUGGGGCUAAUACCGGAUAGGAGCUCCUGCUGCAUGGUGGGGGUUGGAAAGUUUCGGCGGUUGGGGAUGGACUCGCGGCUUAUCCGCUUGUUGGUGGGGUAGUGGUUUACCAAGGCUUCGACGGGUAGCCGGCCUGGGAGGGUGACCGGCGACAUUGGGACUGAGAUACGGCCCAGACGCGUACGGGAGGCAGUAGUGGGGAAUAUUGCAGAAUGGGCGGAAGCCUGAUGCAGCGACGCCGCGUGCGGGAUGACGGCCUUCGGGGUGUAAACCGCUUUCGCCGGUGACGAAGCGUGAGUGACGGUAAUGGGUAAAGAAGCACCGGCUAACUACGUG